CCUUAACUGUCAAGUUUGAUCAAAUUAUUUGAUGGUGGGACGCGGCCUUUAUGGGAUUAUUUUGUUAAACUUGCCAAAAUAUAAAGUCACUGCGCACGCUAAAUAAUGACGUCAAUGACUUGAUGAAGUUUAAUUCGCGUGUAAGUACCUAACCAAGUGAUAUGUAUUCUUUGAUAGAUAUGUAUUCUUUGACUUAACUUUUUUAUUUGCGUACACGUUAGCGUGUACCUAGACACAGCGUGCUAAAAUAUGGCUAAAUUUACGCUGUGUCUAGGUACACGCUAACGUGUACGCAAAUAAAAAAGUUAGGUACAAGCUUAAAUGUCAUCAAAUCAGUGACGUCACUAUUUAGCGUGCACUCUGACUGGGUUUUUUUGGUACACGCUAAUUUGAGCUGCGUGUAUGCUGUGGUAUUUAAAAAUAUCUGGUAUGGUGAGUGUCAGAGUGUGGUUAGAAUUUGUCUAAUCACUAAUCACGUUGUGUUUACCCUUUAAUAUUGAUUAAAUAGUAAAGAGUUUUCUUAUUUUUUAUUUGUUUAGUCUUUUUUUUAAUUAACUAUGGAGUGUGGACAAUUAUUUAGUUCUAUUAAUGAGUUUAACAACAUUCUAAAACAGUAUGAAAAAGAUAAGAGACAAAAAUUCGUAAUUAAGGGCAGCAGAAGUAUUAAGAUAAAAUAUACAGGACAAUUGAUUAGUGUGAUAAAGCUCAGUAGAUCCGCUACAGUAAUAGAUAGCAAUAAAAGUUAGUAACAAAAAUUGUUGCAAACUUUGAGCUUCAUAUUAUAAAAUUAGCUAGAAUGUUACAGGGCGUUCGAUACCAUAGUGGCAGACCAAACUUAUGUUUUUUAAAUGGAACACCCUAUAUUUUAUUUUAUGUUCGAAAUCUUCUUAACUUCUCCAUCACAAAAAUAUAAAGGUUUAAUAUGUUAUACAGGGUAUUCACAAAGUUAUAACCAAUUAUCUAUGAAAAUCGUAACAAGUUCAACUCCCUGUAUAAAUAAAAAUAAACACAACAGCAUUGGUUUAUAAACUGGUAUAACUAACUUAUGUAUAAAAAUUAUUUUAACAGUGUUUUGUAUAUGUCAUGUCAACUAAAUAUUUAUUUUGCCUACCUGAAUACAUAUGCUUUUAUAUACACAUUCCCAAACAGCACAGUACGUUUUGAGUACGUACAAUUUUGGUACUGUACGUACAUGAUGUAAAAUGUACGUUUUAAGUACGUACACUGGGGUACAUACCAGUACGUACAGAAGAGUACGUACUAAGUACGUACUAUUACGUCUAAGUAUGUACCAAGAGAAAGAAGAGCUAAUGUCAGGUUAUGUUAACCUAACCUAAUUUAUUUGGUUAGGAACUUUCCUUCCACCUCGAGUGCUCGAGUACAGUUUUGAUGUGAUAAUUCAUUGCAAGACAGUUUCAUUUAGAUUUUUUUUUACUUAUUUUUGGUGUUGGAGCUUAGUGUGGUUUCCUGUUAUCUUAUUGAGAAGCUGCAAUAAAAAGUCAAAAAUGUAGUGAUAAGAAGGUGGCGGAGCAAGAAAUUGGACGAUGGUUGAGGAGAGCUGGGGAUCGCUUAAAAACUUUCAAGGAAAAGGAAUUAGAAUAAAAAUUGAAUUUAUUUUUUUUUUAAAUAAUAAAGAUAUAUUCACCUA
rnacentral:lncRNA from 1 species